AUGCAUUUACCAGUAUGUUUUAAUAAAAUAAAAUGUAUUUCAGCAAUGCAUUCUCAAGAAGGAAGAGAUUAAUGAACCCUACCCUCUUACAAUGAACAACACAUGGACACUCUCAGGAUGAUCCCUUUGCUUUCAUUAAGAGUUCCAAGUUGUGGGUCUGAUUGACUGGGGUGUGAAAUGUAACAGCCAACGGUGUACUUAAGCUAAGACUGUCAGUCCCAAUAUUCAAGAGGUGAGAUAAGCAAUGGAUAUGUGUUCUAAAUUUACUAAAUUGACCACUUUUUAUAAAUGUUUCUUUUACUCUAUAGGAAAAACCCCUACAUAAACAAAUACAUGGGCGCAGACAUUUUGGACACCCAAAGUUGUGCGGAGGAGAAAAUGCUAGCUGGCGCGUGAUUGGUCAAUAAGAGAAAAGACUUGUUAUGUAUUUGACAAGUGAAAUAAAGUUGAUAAAAAUCUCA